rnacentral:rRNA from 1 species
GAGGAAUAUUGGUCAAUGGACGAGAGUCUGAACCAGCCAAGUAGCGUGAAGGAUGACUGCCCUAUGGGUUGUAAACUUCUUUUAUACGGGAAUAAAGUGAGGCACGUGUGCCUUUUUGUAUGUACCGUAUGAAUAAGGAUCGGCUAACUCCGUGCCAGCAGCCGCGGUAAUACGGAGGAUCCGAGCGUUAUCCGGAUUUAUUGGGUUUAAAGGGAGCGUAGGCGGACGCUUAAGUCAGUUGUGAAAGUUUGCGGCUCAACCGUAAAAUUGCAGUUGAUACUGGGUGUCUUGAGUACAGUAGAGGCAGGCGGAAUUCGUGGUGUAGCGGUGAAAUGCUUAGAUAUCACGAAGAACUCCGAUUGCGAAGGCAGCUUGCUGGACUGUAACUGACGCUGAUGCUCGAAAGUGUGGGUAGUCAAACAGGAUUAGAUACCCUGGUAGUCCACACAGUAAACGAUGAAUACUCGCUGUUUGCGAUAUACAGUAAGCGGCCAAGCGAAAGCGUUAAGUAUUCCACCU